GUGUCAGCAGCCGCGGUAAUACAGAGGUCUCAAGCGUUGUUCGGAUUCAUUGGGCGUAAAGGGUGCGUAGGUGGCGGGGUAAGUCGGAUGUGAAAUCUCAGGGCUCAACCCUGAAACUGCAUUCGAUACUGCCUUGCUCGAGGACUGGAGAGGAGAUUGGAAUUCACGGUGUAGCAGUGAAAUGCGUAGAUAUCGUGAGGAAGACCAGUGGCGAAGGCGGAUCUCUGGACAGUUCCUGACACUGAGGCACGAAGGCCAGGGGAGCAAACGGGAUUAGAAACCCUUGUAGUCC
rnacentral:rRNA from 1 species